rnacentral:rRNA from 1 species
UAGUGGCGAACGGGUGAGUAACACGUGGGCAAUCUGCCCUUCACUCUGGGACAAGCCCUGGAAACGGGGUCUAAUACCGGAUACCACUCCUGCCUGCAUGGGCGGGGGUUGAAAGCUCCGGCGGUGAAGGAUGAGCCCGCGGCCUAUCAGCUUGUUGGUGGGGUAAUGGCCCACCAAGGCGACGACGGGUAGCCGGCCUGAGAGGGCGACCGGCCACACUGGGACUGAGACACGGCCCAGACUCCUACGGGAGGCAGCAGUGGGGAAUAUUGCACAAUGGGCGAAAGCCUGAUGCAGCGACGCCGCGUGAGGGAUGACGGCCUUCGGGUUGUAAACCUCUUUCAGCAGGGAAGAAGCGAAAGUGACGGUACCUGCAGAAGAAGCGCCGGCUAACUACGUGCCAGCAGCCGCGGUAAUACGUAGGGCGCAAGCGUUGUCCGGAAUUAUUGGGCGUAAAGAGCUCGUAGGCGGCUUGUCACGUCGGAUGUGAAAGCCCGAGGCUUAACCUCGGGUCUGCAUUCGAUACGGGCUAGCUAG